ACAAUGCGUUCUCCUUUCUUCCUCUCCACUAAUCUGUACUUCUAAGAGGUGUUGAGUUUCGGCCAAACUUUCUGCUCGGCUCGCAUCAAAGGCUGCCCUCUUGUGAAUAGCCAGCUCUCACCUAAUGAUCUCCCUACUCACUCCUGACCAGGACGCAGGUCAUUCCCCAUAAUAAUUAGCUCACAGGCAGAGUUUCCAGGCGCUUCCAGGAGCAUCAAUCACCGGGAUGAAUGGGAAGCCCGUGUGUGGGAACUGCAGGGGGAGCUGGGUGCAGAGCCACCUCAGCCCUGUCACCCUGCGCGUGUCUCUGCCAUGCUUCCUUGGAUCCCUAUCUACCCCGUUUUGGGUGACAGGACGAGUUGGGCCAGUUACCAGGAUCUUGUCGCCUGGUUCUGAUGGUGUCUUGGUUCCCGGCUGGGGUUUUGUGUUUACCACGAGCGUUGCCUGCUGUCGGGGAGCUGCGUGUGUUUCACAACAAACAGGGAGCCAGGGAGACCACCCUGCGGGGCUGCCCCUUCCCUCAGCGCUUUCUGCUUGGGUCGCUGGCGUCUUGCAGUGCCUUCGUUCGUCUGUGGUGUGAGGUGCUGGUCCAGGCUUACGCGCUAACAGUGAAUUAGAAGGAGAAAACGCUCUGCGAGUGCAGCGGAAGGAGGAAGUCCAGAGCCACGGAAAUUCGGUAAGGAUCGGAUAAGGGCAAUAAAAUCGCAGCUCUAAAUCUUUUCAUGGAGUUGAAGACAGACGUUUGACUGUGGGAGCCAUCUCAUCUUUAUAACCUGCCUGAGUCGAAGCUGUUAAAGAGGCCAAGAAUUCCCAAGCUUUCCCAGGCAAACGGGGAAGAACACUGGGAUGCCUUUUCCUCCUCCUCUGUCCAUCUGCAGGCCAAGUGUGCAUCAGUCACAGGCAAACUCUGAAUUGAGCUUUGUGCAAGUCUCUGGAAAGAGACCCAAGAUCGUGUGAUGAGCAAAAGUGACAGUGCUGGAGGCAGCGACAUCUGCAGAGCCAGCCCCAUCCCUAUCUGCAGCAGAAUAUGUAUGGGGAUCCUUUAUGUGAACAAUCCACCCAGGGUAGAAUGGGGCUUUUGACAUCAGCUGAGACCCAGGCGGCCUUACAAUGAGAGGGCUGUUGGUCAAAGGAAGGACUGUUUAAUGAACUGAGAAUCUGAGGCCAGCUCUGGCCAUCUGCACUUGGAAUCAUUAGAGCAACUCUACUGUAACUGGCAACCUUGAAUAAUGCAGCAAAUUCAUAUUCCAAAAUUGUGAACUUUAAAAUUUUGUGUUUGUGUCUAUGAUGAAAAGCAUUAUAUAAACAUUUGAUACUACAAUUUUAUUAGUAAGGAAGGCUGAAAAAGUAUCUCUCUUUUGACUCUGAGGUCAAUAAUGAUAAUGGCUUUUCCCCUACACUGGGAUAGAAAUGUUCUGUCAAGGAUAUGAAAACACUUUAUGAAAAUGAAAUUCAUUAAAGCCCUUAAUAAUCAGGUAGGGAAGGCAGGUGCUCACAAUUGUCACCUGUUGGUGAGUGAACACCUUAGGCUCGGGGAGGACAAUGACUCAAGAACAAGGUCGAAUUGCAGGUGGGGGGUGAAGCUGAUCCCUAACAGUGUCCUCCAGCCCCUGGCACUGAGGAAGGACAUGGAGGGCUUGCAUCGACUUUUCCUGGCAGGCUUGUGAUUCCCAGCCAGAAUGCAGGUGGCAAUGUUGUGAUUCCUGGCGUAACCUUCAAUGCUUCAAUGAUAAUCUCUGCUGGUGCCAGGCACCAGCUGAGUGUCACUGUGCAGCUCCCAGGCUUAAGUGAUGCAUGCCGAGGUUUUCAGAGCAGUCUCUCAUUUAUUAGUUGUGUUGGAAAGAAAUCUGUACUACCUAACUGGGUACCUCUGGAUUUUAACAGCUGUGGUUUAUAAGAGAUAUGAGAGGGGGUUUGUUUUCAAAGUGCCUUUCACAAAGUAACACCUUAGACUGUAGUUUACAUUCCAUUCCAGUAGGAUAACUUGCAACACUUCUGUGCUCAGAAAUCCAACUGUGCAAGAAAAGUCAGGUUAUAUUUUCAUACAGCCCGUUCUGGCAAAUAUGCCUUCACACCACUUUCCCUCCUCCUCACCGCUAUUGGCAAUAGUCCCAAUGGAAGAGUUUUAUGUCAAAUGCUGAGUAUCUUGGAAGCUGUCCUGCACAGACACGACUGCUUGGCUGCGUGUUGGAGAGUCGCGGUUGGACUGGGAGACCAGGAAGGUCCCUUCUGGUCUGAGAUGUGAUGACUCUAGAACUAAUUAGUUUCAACUCAUAACACGAAAUGAUACUAGCUACCAUUUGGUGGGCUUUUUCUGUGUUCCAGGCUCUGUGCUAAGAUCUUAGCAUUACUCUAAUUACAAAAUCCCUGCCAAUAUUAUCCUCAGUUUACGCAAGAACAAAUGGGUUUAGGGAAAUCAAAAACUUGUCCAAUGACACAGAUUUAAGAUUUAGCAACUGAUGGCCACGUGGAAAUGGAUUACAGAUUAUUCUAAUUGGACACUCUAAACGUGCAAUUUAACCAGAAUGAAAUUUAGGGCUGCGUGCUGUGGCUCAUGCCUGUAAUCCUAGCACUUUGGGAAGCCAGGUGUAUCCCUUAAGCCCAGGAGUUUGAGAGCAACUUGGGCAACAUGGUGAAACCUGUAUCUACAAAAAAUACAAAAAUUAGCCAGGUGAGGUGGUGUAUGCCUGUAGUUCCAGCUACUUGGGAGGCUGAGAGAUGGGAGGAUUGGUUGAGCCUAGGAGGUCGAGGCUGCUGUGAGCUGUGAUGGUUCCACUGCACUCCAGCCUGGGCGACAGAGACAGACUCCAUCUCAAAAAAAAAAAAAAAAAAAGUAGCUACCUUGUGGUUGCACUCGUCUGAGACUAGCUCAUGGCUCCAGCUCUCAGGGUGGUGAGUAAUGAUUCUGUGGUCAGACGCAGUUUUGAAGUCAGGCAAGAAAACCUUCAACAAGAGUUAGAGAUGUCCUGUCUAUGAAUUUCUCCUCUAGGCUUAGGGAUAGCCCUGGGAUUCAUGUCAUGCCAGUUAGGGAUCCACUCAUUGUAAGCAAUACAAGUGCCCCCGAAGAGACAGUGCAUUAAUUGUCACCCCUUAGGAGCAUUGUGUGAAUUAGUGUGAUUUAGCACAUGCCCAGAGGGAUGAAACUCUAGCUCCAUAGGGUAGGUCCUGAUUACUCCUGGAGCAGGCAGCCAGCUCAGCUCAUGGGGAGCUCUGAGAAGUCUCUCAAUGCCUCGCAUGCAGCCCCUGCUCAGGAGUCAUGUGUCACUUCACAGUCUUGCUUUCCAGUGGGUCAAAGCAUGAUGUUUAUGAGAAACAAAUACACAAAAUUCUGACUUGUGUGAAUACAGAACACGUGCAAUAAAACGACUGCAAUCUAUUUUUAAAAUGUGGUCUGAGAAGUCAGGUUUAAUAUGACUAUGUAAUAUAUAAACAAUAUAUUUUCCACAGAAAGGAAAAUAUAAAUAAUAAAAUAUGUCUAUUUCUUUUUUUUGGUGGAAAAUUACUCCCACAAUUUGGUCCCAAGGGGGUCUUAAUUUGUCAUCAGGUCUGUGGCUAAAUGUCUUAUAAAGGAAUGCUUCUUUCUUUCGAGAAGUGUACAGGAACAGUCUGCACUGACUGCUUUUACCUGUAAAUGUUUUGAGAAUUCAGAAGUCACUUUCCUUCCACAAUAGGUGCUAGGCAUUUUAUUUAAAUAAAGCAAAAACAUUUCUGUCAUAAAGAAGGUGUUAAUAACCUCAAAGCUAUGCGAAAUAUACUAGUACAAUCUAAUACUCAUGGUGAAAAAUACAGUAAUUAAG
rnacentral:lncRNA from 1 species